GAUGAACGCUAGCUACAGGCUUAACACAUGCAAGUCGAGGGGAAACGACAUCGAAAGCUUGCUUUUGGUGGGCGUCGACCGGCGCACGGGUGAGUAACGCGUAUCCAACCUGCCCACCACUUGGGGAUAACCUUGCGAAAGUAAGACUAAUACCCAAUGAUAUCCCACGAAGGCAUCCGAAUGGGAUUAAAGAUUUAUCGGUGAUGGAUGGGGAUGCGUCUGAUUAGCUUGUUGGCGGGGUAACGGCCCACCAAGGCUACGAUCAGUAGGGGUUCUGAGAGGAAGGUCCCCCACAUUGGAACUGAGACACGGUCCAAACUCCUACGGGAGGCAGCAGUGAGGAAUAUUGGUCAAUGGGCGAGAGCCUGAACCAGCCAAGUAGCGUGCAGGACGACGGCCCUAUGGGUUGUAAACUGCUUUUAUAAGGGAAUAAAGUGAGUCUCGUGAGACUUUUUGCAUGUACCUUAUGAAUAAGGACCGGCUAAUUCCGUG
rnacentral:rRNA from 1 species